CUGCUGCCUCCCGUAGGAGUUUGGACCGUGUCUCAGUUCCAAUGUGGGGGACCUUCCUCUCAGAACCCCUACGCAUCGUCGGCUUGGUGGGCCGUUGCCCCACCAACUACCUAAUGCGCCGCAUGCCCAUCCAUGACCGGGGUCGCCCCCUUUGACCGGCAGGGGAUGUCCCCUCCCGGCAUUAUGUUGUAUUAGGCGGGAUUUCUCCCGGUUAUCCAUCUGUCACGGCCAGGUUGCAUACGUGUUACUCACCCGUGCGCCGGUCGCCGGG
rnacentral:rRNA from 1 species